AUUGAACGCUGGCGGUAGGCCUAACACAUGCAAGUCGAACGCGAAAGUCCUUCGGGAUGAGUAGAGUGGCGGACGGGUGAGUAACGCGUAGGAAUCUAUCCUGUAGUGGGGGAGUAACGUUUCGAAAGGAACGCUAAUACCGCAUACGCCCCAAGGGGGAAAGCGGGGGAUCUUCGGACCUCGUGCUAUAGGAGGAGCCUGCGUCGGAUUAGCUAGUUGGUGAGGUAAAGGCUCACCAAGGCGACGAUCCGUAGCUGGUCUGAGAGGAUGAUCAGCCACACCGGAACUGAGACACGGUCCGGACUCCUACGGGAGGCAGCAGUGGGGAAUAUUGCGCAAUGGGCGAAAGCCUGACGCAGCCAUACCGCGUGUGUGAAGAAGG
rnacentral:rRNA from 1 species